GGGUCAGUAGGUUGGUCGUGCCACCGGUACGUACUGGUCUCACUGAUUCCUCCUUCCUGAUGAACCGUAAUGCUAUUAAUUUGGUGUUGCGGGGAAACAGGACUGUUACUUUGAAAAAAUUAGAGUGUUUAAAGCAAGCUAACGCUUGAAUACAUUAGCAUGGAAUAAUGAAAUAGGACGAUCGAUCCUAUUUUGUUGGUUUCUAGGAUUGACGUA
rnacentral:rRNA from 1 species